GUCUCCAUCGUCUAGGGGUCUAGGACACCGGGUUUUCAUCCCGGCAACAGGGGUUCGAAUCCCCUUGGAGAUGCCA
rnacentral:tRNA from 2 species